rnacentral:lncRNA from 10 species
AAUCAAUAUAUUAAUAAUCAACCAUGAGACAGAGACAGCAGCAAGGAUGGGGUAAAGGAGAUUAGCUCUCUUUCUCUGCCUGCUCUCCCUGGUAUUGAAAUCUGGCUAUACUUCUUCCCAGCUCUUGAGAAUUAUUGCAAAACUGGGUCAAUGAAUCAAAGUCAUGGAGUGGCAGAUUCCACCUCAAUGUAAGAAAGAACUUCUUUUUUUUUUGAGACAGAGUCUCACUCUGAAGUCUCCUCUUAAAGGGCUGUGCAAAACUCCAAACAGAAAGGCUUGGCUCUGAGAGAGCCAGAUCCCAAGUGCCCCAGGGUUGUAAUGAGUCUCCUCGCAUUAUUGAACAAACACCUCUAAGUCACCUUUUGCUGGAGGAAGCUUGGUCCUUACAGGAGGGCCUUAGAUUGGGCCCUGAUAAGGCAGCACAUCCUGUCUGCCUCCCUGUCCACACCCUCACAGCUGAGCCUGCUGCGGUUGCUGCUGACUUCAAAGGCACUGCUUCCCUUGGAUCCACAUCAAGGACUGGAAUGAGAAAAGGGUCCCCUGACCUUCUUAUAUCACCUCGCCUAAGUGUCCCCAGCGGUGCUCUGCAGAGCAGAGGCCCCAGCUCCAAAACAACAGAACACAAAGUACUUUAACCUUUGAAUGUGGCAAGACCUCCGUGAAAAAUCGUUUCUCAGCCCAUUUGAUGGGAAAAGGGUGCUAUUUUUGUGACUACCUGUAACAUCUGAGUAUGCUCGUCAGAAGUCACUCCGAGGAAAAAUCUGAUUAUUAGUUGGGAAAAUGGGGCAAGGAGGAGGCAGAGAAGAGAAGUAGCUCUGCUGGGUAUGUGGCAGUGUGACUUCUAGAACUGUUUGUGUCCAUGUGGACUUGGACAAGCCACUUCAGGACUCUGGGUCUGGGUCUUCUCAUCCAAAACAAGAGCUUCAAAAGGCACUUCGAUAAUUGUUUGAGGCAUGAAAAAGGCAGGUUUCAGCUUUCCUAACUGGAAUGGAGGUAAUUACUGUCUUCCACACACGAGCCGGUACAUGCUUGAAAUCAGAUGGCUCUGGGUUGUUUUAGAAAGUGUAGCUGGGCCUCUGAGCCAGGAGAGGGAGGAUUAUGGAGCCUUCCAGCGGCUCCAUUCCAGAGAGGGAGGAAUUCAGACAUCCCAGAAACGAAGACCUUCUCUUCCAGCUCAGUGGGAUGAAGUCAACAAGGUCUUUGCUUUACAAAAUCAUGCCUGAUUGGGAAAGAUCCUGAAAAUGUCUAGACAAAUCUGAAAGAAAAAUGCUGUCCUGGGCAAUCUAAUACAGAAAACUGACUCUGGGCUUUCCCUGGGCUCCACUGGUCCCACCAAUGGUGCAAAUGACGGUGACUUUCUCCACGUUCUACAUACAUCUGGGCAUUUGCUCAUGCUGUCUUGGGUCAAAGUCUCAAGUUGGAAAAUGGAUUCAUCCUGAGAUCCAAGGCAGAACCAGUCGUGUUGUCAGUGGGUAGCUGAGACCCCAAAAUUCCCACCUCUUUUCCUGUCAUGAAGUUUCUAUCUCGAGAGAAAACAGCUGUCCAUUCUUAGGCCAACUGGGACUGAAGCCAGCUGUUCCUUCCAGAUGCCAAGAGUCAGAUGCACGCCCACUCUUUUCUCCUAUUCCCUAAGGCUGAAGUCUCAAACUUUAUUGAAUUUAUUAAUAACCUCAGGGACUUGCUAAAAAGCAUUUCCCCAGGCUCUACCUCCAGAGAAUCUGAUUCAGUUAAUUCAGGUUGGCCAGGAAAUCUGCAUGUUAAAUAACAACCCUCCUGCCCCACCUCAUUUCUGAUCUCUAGGAAAUUCCUAUGUAAUUGGUCUGAGAAUCAUACUUUGAGUGACAAUAGCCACAGUGGAGGCACUGGUGUGCCGGUAAAUGUUUAACAACUGGCUCUGGAGGUGGAAAAGCCUGGUUUGUAGCUUGCUGAUUUCUGUGGUAUAAAUAUUCCCACCUUGGUCAACUCAAGCUACAAAUAUGACAUCAUGAUUGUGAAGUUGGGAAAAGGUUUGUGCAAUCAGUUCUGAUAAGCCCAUAGUAACUGAUUUCAGCAUGCCCACUGGGUGGAAGUGGCCGGAUGCCUCCAAAUGCUGGUUCCUAGGCUCUGGCAUAGAAGGGCCACUGUUUGGUCCAGAAUGUCACAUCCCCUAAUUUUUUUUCCCUAAAUCCUUCGUUUUUUGAAUGGUUUGUUUUGGUUACUGGCUCUCGGAGACCUUGAGGGGUUCCAAGCCAGAGAACAAAGAAGGGGAAGAGAAGGAGCUCCAAGAAAGAAAAUGCAAUUAGUGUAGGAUGUUGGCCUCAGCUACGCUGCUAACCUUGUUCAACCCAGCUUUCAGCAGGGAAGGGGUUUCAAACACCUGUCUCUGCCUUCAUUUGAUAAGCUUUCUGGUCAAGUCACAUUAACCUGAUCCUGCUGACCUGGAGAAGGAUGAAAAGGCUGAGUGUCGGGGACCUGAGGGGAUGAAAGUGGAUGGGGGAGGCCUGGGGGGGGGGCUCAUAUGACCUGGGGUCACCAUCGGCUUAAGGCUUCCCCUUUGUCUCCCUGCUCUGGCCCCAUGUUUGAAGGUUCUGGUGAUUUCCUCCCGCCCCCCGACUAGGCGAACAGAUGUGGAAAGAUCUCCAGUUCCCAGGGCUCAGGACACAACUGCCUGUUGUUUCCCGCCUGCAGACCGGGGCCUGCAGUCACAGGCAGAACAGCUACGCAAUCACUUGCCAAAGAGCUGAGCCCAGUCAGGUGUGGGGUGCAAGCCUACUCUGCCUUUUGGGAGUGAGAGGAUGUGUAAGCCUAGCUGAACAAGAAUGGAAAACAACCAUGUUCCCGCCCUGUUGUGCUCUAAGUUCACUGUGUAGGAAUUCAGAGGCACUUUAGCAGAGGCAAUGACUUGAGCUCUUCCACGGCAAUACAAUGCUCACAGGUGCCAUGACCAUUUGAACAAACGCUGCCUUCUGGGCCAGCUGCUUCUCUUGUCCCACACUGCAGGUACUGCCAACGUGAGAACUUUGCCCACUUCUAGACUGGAGUUGAGGGCACCCUGCUACUCUAAAAAGGAUGUUUUCCUCAGCCCACUGAGCUUUCAGGGCUCACUAGAUCAAGGCGGUAGAAGAGUUACAAAGGAAGGGGUGCAAGUGUUAGCUUCCUUAUGUACCUUAUUUAUUCAACACUGAUAGUUUCAGAAAUGGCUUAGAGCCUAGCUUCCUCACCAAUAUCCAUAUACCUUUGACAAGUGGGACAAAUAAAAGCAUAAAAAUAUCUCCCUUAAAUAAAACGCCUUUCUCAUAUCUAGUCCAUCUACAAGAAUAAGCUGAUACCUAAUGAUAUGUUUUCUAGUUUAUGCAAUAAAUGGUGGUGAUUACAAUUUUGCACAAAGACCUGGUACAUAUACGUCUUAGCAUGUAGCACAUUUACCUGUAAAUGCUACAAGUAGCAGAAUGACAGCCAUCUCCCUAAAGCACUGAUUCUCCAAGUGAGGUCUGCAGUCCCCUGGGAUCCCUGAGACCCUAUCAGGGUGUCUGCAAGCUCAAAAUUAUUUUCAUAAUUUUGAUAAUAUUUCAUAAUAAUACCAAGAUGUUAUUUGCCUUCUUCACUGUGUUGACAUCUGGGUAAAAUUGCUGGUGCUAGACUAUGCUGGCAGUCACGGCAUUCUUCACUGCUACAAACUUACAGGGGGAAUAAAUGCCAGUUUCACCAAAGAAUGUCCUAAAUUAGACAGUAAAAAUUAUUAAUUUUAUAAAACCUUGCCCAAAAGGUACUUUUUCUCUCCUCCCCUCCUCUCCCCUCUCUGCCUCCCUUCCCCUUCCCCUUCCCUUUCCUUUCCUUCCCUUCCCUUCCCUUUCUUUUCUUUGUGUGAUGACUUGGAAACAAAGUAUCAAGCAUUUCUGGUGCAUCCUGAAGUAUGAUGGUCAUCUGGAGGAAAAGCACUUGUGUGAGUGUCCUGAGUUGUGAUCUGCACUAGUCACUUUCAUGGAACACAAUGUUUACUCAAAAGGACCAAAUAACCAUAGUUAUUCAGAUUUGGUUAUUUGACAGGCAUUUUCUCAAAAAUGAACAAACUGAGCUCAUCACUUCAAGAAAGACAAUAAUUAACAGUAUUUUCUGCCAAAAUAGAAGUAUAAAGCAAAAAUUAGAAUUUUUAGAAACCUGUAUCUGCCAUAGUGAACUUAACACCUUCCCAACACUUACAGAGGUUUUUGAUGAGAUCAGUGAUAUUAACAAAUAAGAACUUUUAGUUUUCAUCAAGAAAUAUAUCAAAUUUGAAAAAUCUGCAUGACUUAGUGAAGCAAUAUUUUCCAAAUGACCCAUGCAUAUUAUUUCAAAAUCAUGCAUGAGCAAAAGAUCUAUUCAGAGUACAAGCCAGAUAACUGAAUUUUAACAUAACUGAGCACAAAAAGUUCAUUGAUAUAGUUUCAGAUUCCACAUUGCAACUAACCUUAGUAAUCUACUAUUGGUUGAGUUUUGGUAUAAUGUCAAAGAAGAAUAUUCACAAUUAUCUGAAAAGACUAUUAAAAUAUUCCUCCCUUUUCCAACAAAAUAACUACGUGAGGCUGGGUUUCCUUCGCAUACUUUAUCCAAAACAACAUUAUCACAGCUGAUUGAAUGCAGAAGCCGAUAUGAGAAUCCAGCUGUCUUCUAUUAAGCCGGACAGUCAAGAGAUUUGCAAAAAUGUAAAACACUGUCACUCUUCUCACUUGGAUUUUUUAAAAAAGUUAUUUUUAUAAUAAAAUGUUAUUUUUAACGUUUAAAUGGAUUAAUGAAUAUAUGCAUUUUAAUAAAUUACUAAAUGUUAAUUUAUUCAUUAACAAUGAAUAAAUAUUAAAUGAACAAAUAUUAUUUUUGGUUUUAGUUUUUAAUAUGGUAAAUUAUUUAAUUAUCUAUUGCUGUAUAGCAAAGUAUCCUAAAACCUAGUGGCUUAAAACAACAAUAAUCACUUGAGUUGCCAGCCUAAAGAAAUGGGUCCAGCUUCCGGGCAGGGCGUGGUGGCUCACGCCCGUAAUCCUAGCACUUUGGGAGGCCGAGGUGGGCGGACCACAAGGUCAGGAGAUCGAGACCAUCCUGGCUAACAUGGUGAAACCCCGUCUCUACUAAAAAUACAAAAAAUUACCCGGGCAUGGUGGUGGGUGCCUGUGGUCCCAGCUACUCGGGAGGCUGAGGCAGGAGAAUGGCAUGAACCUGGGAGGCAGAGCUUGCAGUGAGCCGAGAUCAUGCCACUGCACUCCAGCACUCCAGCCUGGGCGACAGAGUGAGACUCUGUCUCAAAAAAAAAAAAAAAAAGAAAAGAAAAGAAAGAAAGAAAGAAAGAAAUUGGUUCACCUGGGUGGCUCAUACCUGUAAUCCCAUCACUUUGGGAGGCUGAGGUGAGAUGAUCAUUUGAGGCCAGGAGUUUAAAACAAGCCUGGGCAACAUAGCGAGACCCCAUCUCUAAAAGAAAAAAAAAAAAGCCAGGAAUGGUGGUGCACACCUGUAGUCCUAGCAACUUGAGAGACUGAGGCUGAAAGAUCACUUAAUCCCAGGAGGUUGAGGCUACAGUGAAUUGUGAUUGCACCACUGCACUCCAGCCUGGAUGACAGAGGGAGACCCUAUCUCUCUAAAAAAAAAAAAAAAAAAAAGAAGAAGAAGAAGAAAGGAAGAAAAGAAAUUAUUGGUCCAUAUGUCUGAAAUGUCUUUGCUGUCUAUCUUUGUCCCGUUGCUCAUAGUUAGACCAUCAUUUAGGCAACUUCUUGCUCACUUACCCUCCACAAGCUUGGACACAGGUCCUUCUAGCUCUGUUUCUUCUGAACUUGAGAUUACUGGAGACUCCCUUAUGAGUUUUAACACUCCCCAUAACCUUUGUAUGAUUUGUACAUAGAAAAUACCCCCAAAAUUAAAAAUAAAUUAUUAAACUAAAGGAAAGGUUAGUAAGAUUGCUGGACAUAAAAUUAAUAUUUGAAAAUAAAUUAUAUUCCAAUAAGAUACACAAAUGGCCAACAAGCACAUAAGAAAUAUCUUUAGUAUCACCUGCUCUCUGCAGCUCCCAGGCACACCUCCCCAGGAGCAGAGGUUUUCUGGGCUAGGUCAGGCCCUCCCAUUACCUGCUUUGUAGAAGACAGGGAAGAAAAUCACUCACUGUAUGUAAUUUUAUUUAAGAGAGUGCAAGAAUGUCGUGUUUGAGCCUUUCACUCUUUUUUCUUUGUAUUUCUUAUCGGAAAUGAAAGAAAACAGCCAGUGAGAUAGGAUCUCAGGUCUAGAAUUCCUAGCAGGUAAUUUGGGAGUUGAAAACAAAUCUCCCCUGAAAUGCAUUAAGCAGGUGAAGGGGAUUCCAGUUUCAACUCUGAAACCACACCUUAUCCUGGCCUGGCAAAUAACUUCCUUCCAGCCCCAGGCAAAUCCCAACUUCCACCCGCCAAAUGCCUGCAGUUAAUAAACGUUUAAGCAACAACAAAAACCCCAAGUGGAAAAUGGAAGACUGAUUCGAGGCUGAGAUACUAGAAGGGCUGCCUGGGAGCCCCUCUCUGAGAGCCGCGCCCACAGGAGGAACUUUUAGCCAGGGAAGCCGGGGCCUGGAGCUGGGGAACCCAAGGCAUGAUGUCUUUCAGAGCGUCAGAGCAGGGUAAAUAUCUGAUUUGAGUCAAAUGAUUAUUUUUCUUGAUCAGAUUUGUCCACUUGUUUCAUUGGAACUCCAUACCACUAGCCAUGGUCAAACCCUUCAAAAUGGCCAAAAUCUCCAGACUGCAUUAUUGGGCCACAGUAGGUCCUGCUUCCUGCUAAGUGCUGCAAGACUGGAGUUUCCAAGCUCUGGUCUAGAUAGGUCAGCUGAGGGUUGGUAAGGAAGUUCUCAUGGGUCCAGAGAGAACUAAGAAAAAAAGGAUCAUGUUAUGCUGUGGAAAUGUGCUCCGCGGUAAUUUUUAUUCCCAUUUUACAUAUCAGAAAACAGAGGCUCAGAGACGUUGAAUGACUUGCCACAUAGCUAGUCAGUAGCAGAGCGAGGAUGGAGAUUCACAUGAUCAAUCACAGUGACCACCGUUUGCUGAGCACCUGUAGUGAGACAGGCAAACACCUUGUGCUUUGUGUGUGUUAACUUGUUCAGUUCUCGUGGAUUGCUUCCUUUUUAAAGAAAUGAAACUGUUCAACAGAGCUUCCUGCCAUAAGGGAAAUCUUCUACAUCUCACGUCCAAUAGAUAGCCACAAGCCCCAUGUUGCUAUUCAGCCCUUGAAAUGUGGUAAGUGAAACUGAGGAACAAAAUUUUAAAAUUUUAUUUCACUUAAAUUGAUUUAAAUGUGAACAGCCACAUGUGGCUGGCAGCUCUGGGAGGUUCAGUAGCUUUUCCAAAAGCCAGCGAAGUGAUGAGGUGAGGGUUGUGUUGUGGGGCUGAUUGAGCCCCAAAUCCAUGUGUUUCCCCCUUUCUCUCUGCUCCCCUGUGAGGUGGCCUGCCUUUUCCAAAGUAAAAGACACUGGGAAGGAAACUGACCAGACAGUAUACAGUCAGCCAAAAAUAAAGCCAGACCCCAAAGGUGGGGUCUGUAUUUGAGUCUGCUUCUUCCGAAUGUGUCUGGAAGCCCCCAUGGGUGGCCAAACAGCCCAGCUGGGGGCUUCAGACCCUGCACCAGUAACUUCCCAGAGCCCACCAUGGCCCAUUUGGCUGGGGCUUAUAUGACUCACAGGUUCCAACCCUACAAUUUAAACUGCAGCAUUUCCUUUUUCUGGGCUUAACACUAAUUGGUAGAGGUAGUGAGCUCCCAGGCCCAGCCUCACCCUGUCGAAACAUGUAGCUCUCAACAGUUCCCACUGGAAGCACCACCCAUGAGGUGCAGCUACCAUUGCCAUGUGUCUGAAUGCCAGUGUUUAACCCAAGCUGGCCCAUUGUUGUUCCAUGAGCCUCUCUAUAGCCUCUGAAUGUUCAUCUUU